rnacentral:lncRNA from 1 species
AAAACAUGGCUGCAGUUAUCAGGCUUCUGGAGAAAAAUAUGAAAGGAGGAGGGACAAAAGUGUUCAGAUAGCAUCAUUUCUUCUAGAAAAAUCUGAGGUGUGAUUUAUAAUCCUUGAAAAAUUCUCCUGGAGUUCUUCUGGGCAGAAGCGACUAAGUGCUGCUCUCA